AUCUGAAAACGAGCAUUGCAGUACCACUUUUAUUUUAAAAAAAAGAUUACAAUAGAGGGGGGGACAUUAUUAAUCUUACUGCAAGUAACUAAUAAGAGUAAAGUUGCUACUCCGGAGAGAGCUACAACUAUUUUAUUUAUGAAUAAAAAAACAACAAUUUUAUUCUAGGAAUAUCCAACUUUUCUCCCUUGCUACUGAAGCAAUCUCAUUGAAAGACUUCAGAGCCAACUUUAUAUUUUAUCAUGUAAUUUCUCCACAUCACUGAUCAAAUUUGACACCUUUUCAUACUGCAAAAGAAAAAAAACUUAUAAAAAAAUAAUAAUUAAUAUAUGUGGAUAUUUAAUGAGAUGAAGAAAACUAACCUCAGCUUCCAAUUGGGCAAUCUCCAUUGUUUCAAGAUGUUUUUUGUGUUCUUCACUACAAGUACAUGUUGGAAUGUUCUUCAAACAUUCAUUCAGCAAUUUGUGUUCCAGAAGGAGCAUUUCGCAUUCGAGCUUAAGUACCUUAUUUUCCAAUUUUGCUCUAACAUUUGAAAGCACCAUACAAGCUUUGUGAAGAUUCAAAACUAAAUUACAACAACAACAACCCAAUAUAAUGCCACUAAGUGGGGUCUCCGAGGGUAGUAUGUACGCAGACCUUACCCCUACCCUGAGGUAGAGAGGCUGUUUCCAAAUAGACCCCCGGCAUCCUUCCCUCCAAGAACUUGCCACCUUGCUCUUGGGGAGACUCGAAGUCACAACCUCUCGAUUGGAAGUGGGGGUUGCUUACCAUCAGAGCAACCCUUCUUGUCUUAAAACUAAAUUACAAGAAGAAGAAAAAAAAGGAAAUUGAAAAGAAACUCACCUGAUAAGUUCUAGUUUUGAACUAGAACCCUGAUUUCCAGAAGCCAUUAAUUAGAAAAUAGAGCAAAUUAAAAUAAACCUUUUUUUUCCCUUGAAUUGGCUAUAUGAUAAGUUGCUUCUCAUGAAUAGAGGAGAAAGUCCUU
rnacentral:lncRNA from 1 species